UAAAAUAUUAUAAAUUAGGUAGUAGUGAUAUAUCCGAAACCUAAAGAACUUGGCGGUGUUUUAAAUGAUCGGAGGAACCUGUUAUGUAAUUGAAAGUCCACAACAUAUCUUACCUAAUUUUUGUUUGUAUACCGUUGUUUAGGCAGUAUUUAAAAAUAUAGUCGAGGUUAAUAAAAUUCUAAAAAUCAAAUCAAGGUGCAGCAUAAUUAGGGAAUAAUGGGUUACAAUAUAUAUUAUAUAUUACGGAGGUAAGAUGAAAAAUAUCCAGAAGGAGGAUUCGAAAGUAGUAAAAUAAUUAAAAAGUUUUUAUGAAUAAUAAUUUAAAAUAUGC
rnacentral:rRNA from 1 species